rnacentral:piRNA from 1 species
UCCAAAAAUCAUGCAGGGUGGGCCUUAUGU